GUGAGGAAUAUUGGUCAAUGGGCGAAAGCCUGAACCAGCCAUGUCGCGUGAAGGAUGAAGGUCCUAUGGAUUGUAAACUUCUUUUGCAGGAGGGUAAAGUGAGCUACGUGUAGUUCAUUGCAAGUACCCUGCGAAUAAGCAUCGGCUAACUCCGUGCCAGCAGCCGCGGUAAUACGGAGGAUGCGAGCGUUAUCCGGAUUUAUUGGGUUUAAAGGGUGCGUAGGCGGACUAAUUAGUCAGCGGUGAAAUUUUGCGGCUCAACCGUAAAACUGCCGUUGAAACUGUUAGUCUUGAGUGCGGUAGAGGUAGGCGGAAUGUGUGGUGUAGCGGUGAAAUGCUUAGAUAUCACACAGAACACCGAUUGCGUAGGCAGCUUACUGGAGCGCAACUGACGCUGAGGUGCGAAAGCGUGGGGAGCAAACAGGAUUAGAUACCCGGGUAGUCC
rnacentral:rRNA from 1 species